rnacentral:snoRNA from 2 species
AGACCGUGAUGAGGACACUUUCUUAGUAGCUCCUUGAACCUUUCCCAAGUUUCAUAUAAGGAUUCCCCAUCCUCUUGUGAAUAUGUGUAACACCUCGAAAAU